rnacentral:tRNA from 1 species
GCCGAGGUAGCCAAGCCCGGUAUGGCGGCGGUCUCGAAAACCGCUGGGAGUGAUCCCUCGGGAGUUCGAAUCUCUCCCUCGGCG